rnacentral:rRNA from 1 species
UGAGUACGAGACGCUAAGGCGUCGAAGUAGUGGAUGUCAUACUUCCAAGAAAAGCUUGCACUGUCAUAAAUAAAAAGCGCCUGUACCAUAACCGACACAGGUGGGUAGGUAGAGUAUACUAAGGGGCGCGAGAUAACUCUCUCUAAGGAACUCGGCAAAAUAACUCCGUAACUUCGGGAGAAGGAGUGCCUUAUUCGUAAGGCUGCAAUAACAAGAUCCAAGCAACUGUUUAUCAAAAACACAGGUCUCCGCUAAGUCGUAAGACGAUGUGUGGGGGCUGACGCCUGCCCAGUGCCAGAAGGUUAAAGAAGUCGGUUGGCAUUAGCGAAGCUGGUAACUGAAGCCCUGGUGAACGGCGGCCGUAACGAUAACGGUCCUAAGGUAGCGAAAUUCCUUGUCGGGUAAGUUCCGACCCGCACGAAAGGCGUAAUGAUUUGGAUACUGUCUCGGAGAGGGGCUCGGUGAAAUAGACUUGUCUGUGAAGAUGCGGACUACCUGCACCAGGACAGAAAGACCCUAUGAAGCUUUACUGUAACUUGAAAUUGAAAUUGGACUUUAUUCGCGCAGUAUAGGUGGGAGGUGUUGAUUAUAAUCUUGCGGGAUUAUUGGAGCCAUCAGUGAGAUACCACUCUUGUAAUGUUAGAUUUCUAACUUUGAAUCAUUAUCUGGUCAAAGAACAGUUUCAGGCGGGCAGUUUGACUGGGGCGGUCGCCUCCUAAAUGGUAACGGAGGCGUACAAAGGUUUCCUCUGAACGGGUAGAAAUCGUAUCUAGAGUGUAAAGGCAUAAGGAAGCUUGACUGUGAGACCUACAAGUCGAGCAGGGACGAAAGUCGGUCUUAGUGAUCUGACGGUACUGAGUGGAAAGGCCGUCACUCAACGGAUAAAAGUUACUCUAGGAUAACAGGCUGAUCUCCCCCAAGAGUUCACAUCGACGGGGAGGUUUGGCACCUCGAUGUCGGCUCAUCGCAUCCUGGGGCGGUAGUACGUCCCAAGGGUUGGGCUGUUCGCCCAUGAAAGCGGUACGCGAGCUGGGUUCAGAACGUCGUGAGACAGUUCGGUCCAUAUCCGGUGUAGGCGUUAGAAUAUUGAGAGGAGCCUUCUUUAGUACGAGAGGACCGAGAAGGACAUACCUCUGGUGUACCAGUUAUCGUGCCAACGGUAAACGCUGGGUAGCUAUGUAUGGAGUGGAUAACCGCUGAAAGCAUCUAAGUGGGAAGCCCACCUCAAGAUAAGUAUUCUCAUCAU